CAGAGAGAGGUCAUGUAGCAGCCGAGAAGAUAGGAUUGCCAGCAUUCUCCGUUGAACUUGACACCUGGAUGGCUAAUCUCCCCAGCAGAGAGCAGACCCAGCUACACUGAAAGAUACCCAGAUGUGUGUUUACAGGUGCGAACUUGACCAGAUAAAUGGAAAGGAUCAGGGCUCAGAAGGCCCCCAUCAAGUCGUGGAGAGCAUCUGGGAGUCGGGUCUGCAUCCUUGUGUAAAUUCUUCCCACAAAUAAAUGGCAUCUAUUAUUCUACCGAGUCUGGUUAAUUCAUUACUAACCACCUAUACCAGGCACCCAACCCAGUCAGGUGGGUUCCUGUGACCACCUCAUGUGGCUGGCUACCACCCAUGGCUUUUGUGCAUUAAGGAGGCUGCUGGGUUUGCCGCAGCCUGGGCCAGGGGAGGCCAGUGCUUCUCUGUAUCCUCUGCAUGCUGUGGAUUUGUGACAGCACUUUUCUUUGCUCUUGAAUCUGCUUAAGGUUUGUGUGGGCCUCACACAGCACAUUCGUAUUGCCGCGGUAGCCACUUAGCUCCUGCACCUCACACAAGCUGCGUCCUUCAUCUUCUUUCUAACAAAAUUUCAUUCUUUUGACUUUGUUGGGAGUAGCUUAGAAUUCACAGAUUGUAACAAAUCAGAAACAAAAGCGAAACAGAGGGAAGCAGUCGGCCUCUGGACUCAAUUUGGCAGUACACCUGCGGCACCAGCUGGCCAAUCCUAGUUACUACAAGUUGAG
rnacentral:lncRNA from 1 species